rnacentral:rRNA from 1 species
UACGUAGGGGGCUAGCGUUAUCCGGAAUUAUUGGGCGUAAAGGGUGCGUAGGCGGUCCUACAAGUCAGAGGUGAAAGGCUACGGCUCAACCGUAGUGAGCCUUUGAAACUGUAGGACUUGAGUGCAGGAGGGGAGAGUGGAAUUCCCAGUGUAGCGGUGAAAUGCGUAGAUAUUGGGAGGAACACCAGUUGCGAAGGCGGCUCUCUGGACUGUAACUGACGCUGAGGCACGAGAGCGUGGGGAGCGAACAGGAUUAGAAACCCCUGUAGU